rnacentral:rRNA from 1 species
AGUGAACGCUGGCGGUAGGCCUAACACAUGCAAGUCGAACGGCAGCACAGUAAGAGCUUGCUCUUACGGGUGGCGAGUGGCGGACGGGUGAGGAAUACAUCGGAAUCUACUUUUUCGUGGGGGAUAACGUAGGGAAACUUACGCUAAUACCGCAUACGACCUACGGGUGAAAGCAGGGGAUCUUCGGACCUUGCGCGAUUGAAUGAGCCGAUGUCGGAUUAGCUAGUUGGCGGGGUAAAGGCCCACCAAGGCGACGAUCCGUAGCUGGUCUGAGAGGAUGAUCAGCCACACUGGAGCGGAGACACGGUCCAGACUCCUACGGGAGGCAGCAGUGGGGAAUAUUGGACAAUGGGCGCAAGCCUGAUCCAGCCAGACCGCGUGGGUGAAGAAGGCCUUCGGGUUGUAAAGCCCUUUUGUUGGGAAAGAAAAGCAGCAGGUUAAUACCCAGCUGUUCUGACGGUACCGAAAGAAUAAGCACCGGCUAACUUCGUG